rnacentral:tRNA from 1 species
GCCUUAGUGGUGUAGUGGUCAGCACGCUCGACGCGUAACCGUGAAAGGUCCGUGGUUCGAUUCCCGGUGAAGGCG